UACGUAGGGUGCGAGCGUUGUCCGGAAUUAUUGGGCGUAAAGAGCUUGUAGGCGGUUUGUCGCGUCUGCUGUGAAAAUCCGGGGCUCAACCCCGGACUUGCAGUGGGUACGGGCAGACUAGAGUGUGGUAGGGGAGACUGGAAUUCCUGGUGUAGCGGUGGAAUGCGCAGAUAUCAGGAGGAACACCGAUGGCGAAGGCAGGUCUAUGGGCCGCUACUGACGCUGAGAAGCGAAAGCAUGGGGAGCGAACAGG
rnacentral:rRNA from 1 species